rnacentral:rRNA from 1 species
ACGUAGGGGGCAAGCGUUACUCGGAAUUACUGGGCGUAAAGGGUGAGUAGGCGGCUGGGCAAGUCAAGGAUGAAAUCCCGAGGCUCAACUUCGGAACCGUCCUUGAAACUGCUCAGCUUGAGGGUAGUUGAGGAGAGUGGAAUUCCCGGUGGAGCGGUGAAAUGCGUAGAUAUCGGGAGGAACACCUGAGGCGAAGGCGGCUCUCUAAGCUACUCCUGACGCUGAAGCACGAAAGCUAGGGGAGCAAACGG